AGUUGUGCCUUCGGUCAUCAUUCUCCUAGACAACGUCAGCAAGCAAGCGAUAGAAACGAAGCGAGCGUGGCGAUGGAACAGACAGACCUUCAUCAUGAUCAAGCCCGACGGCGUCCAACGCGGCCUGUUGAAAGGUUGGAGAAAUCAUUAGUAGGUUUGAGAAAAAGGGUUUCUACUUGAAAGGGUUGAAGUUGGUCGGCGUGGAACGCUCCUUUGCGGAGAAACACUACGUCGACCUCUCCAUGAAGCCUUUCUUUGGUUCCCUUGUGGAGUACAUCAUCUCUGGUCCGGUGGUAGCGAUGGUAUGGACGCGAAAGAAUGUGGUGGUCAGACUAUGCAAUUGAGAUUGGCAGGGUCCAUGAUGCUUCCUUCCAACAUGGUGACAACCAUGCUAAUUGAAGGUCUAUUUUCUGGCUUUAUCUGUAUGCACCAUAAACCCACUAUCAUCAUCUUUUUUGUAAUUUCUUUAGUCUUAGGAUUAGCAUCAGUCUCAGGACUAACAAGACUGGUAUCAGGAGUGACCAAAUCAUAGUACUUAUCAAAACUGUCAUAAACCCAGUCUGGAAAAUAAAUU